AACGAACGCUGGCGGCAUGCCUAACACAUGCAAGUCGAACGAGACCUUCGGGUCUAGUUGCGCACGGGUGCGUAACGCGUGGGAACCUGCCCUUAGGUUCGGAAUAACUCCCCGAAAGGGGUGCUAAUACCGGAUAAUGUCUUCGGACCAAAGAUUUAUCGCCUUUGGAUGGGCCCGCGUUGGAUUAGCUAGUUGGUAGGGUAAAAGCCUACCAAGGCGACGAUCCAUAGCUGGUCUGAGAGGAUGAUCAGCCACACUGGGACUGAGACACGGCCCAGACUCCUGCGGGAGGCAGCAGUGGGGAAUAUUGGACAAUGGGCGAAAGCCUGAUCCAGCAAUGCCGCGUGAGUGAUGAAGGCCUUAGGGUUGUAAAGCUCUUUUAACCGGGAUGAUAAUGACAGUACCGGGAGAAUAAGCUCCGGCUAACUCCGUG
rnacentral:rRNA from 1 species